rnacentral:rRNA from 1 species
AUGGCUACAAGGGAUGAGCAGCGGCAGCAUCCCCUACCCCUGCACAUCCUCUUCCUCCUGUUCUUCGCCCCCGGGCACCUCAUUCCGGUCGUCGACAUGACCGCGAUAUUCUCCACUCACGGCGCCAGGUGCACCAUCCUCGCCACGCCCGUCAACGCCGACAUCAUCCGUCCGGCCGUCGACUGCGCCAACGACUCCAACUGCCACGGCACCGACUCCCCUUCCCCUGCAGUCGACAUCUCCGUCAUGCCUUUCCCCGACGUCGGGCUCCCGCCAGGCAUGGAGAACCUCAUGUCCCUUACUCCAGCCCACGGAGCCGAGUACCCGCUCAAGUUCAUCCAGGCCGUGCAGCUGCUCCGCUUGCCCUUCGACCGGUUCAUGGCUGCCAACCGCCCCGACGCCGUCGUGUCCGACAGCUUCAGCUGGUCCACAGACGCCGCCGCGGAGCACGACGUCCCGCGCCUCGUGUUCCUCGGCAGCAGCGUGUUCGCGCGGUGCUGCAGCGAGACCAUGCUGCGCAACAACCCGCUGGAGACGACCACUUCCCCGGACGACGAUCCCGAUGACGACGCCCGGCUCGUCUCUCUGCCGGGGCUGCAGCACCGCGUCCAGCUGAGGCGGAGCCAGAUGAUGGAUCCGAGGAAGCGGCCGGCGAUGUGGGCAUUGAGCUUCGGCGAGGUGUUCAACAGCUUCCACGAGCUGGAGCCGGACUACGUCGAGCACUUCCGCACGACGCUCGGCCGUCGUGCGUGGCUCGUGGGGCCGGUCGCGCUCGCCAGCAAAGACAUGGCUAAGAGAGGCAGUGCCGACAACACUAAGGCACACAUCACCGACGGCUGCCUGCGGUGGCUAGACACGAAGCCGGCCGGCUCGGUGGUGUAUGUCUCCUUCGGCACGUUCACCAGUUUCUCGCCGGCCGAGCUGCGCGAGCUCGCCCGCUGCCUCAACCUCUCCGGCAAGGACUUCGUGUGGGUCAUCAGCUCCGACACAGGCUGA